UAGCGCGCGCCAUCAAAACUUCAGGGCGCCACCCAACCCUCUCCCCGAUCAAGAAAGAGAAGGGCGGCUGUCUCGUCCAUGGGGGAAAGAGAAGACCGCACUACAAAGAGACCUUCUGUCAGAGGACCUUGGAUUGAGUUUUGAUAAACUGCCUUCUGUACCUGAUGGGAGAAGGACCUCUGCCCCCUCAUCCAAGGCUUCAGAUUAGGGCUCCUGGACGCACAGACAAGCAAGUCACUGUUCCAGCCACAGUUACUCCAGUCUGUGCGAUAUCAAUAAACUCUACACUUCA